UACGUAGGGUGCGAGCGUUGUCCGGAAUUAUUGGGCGUAAAGGGCUCGUAGGCGGUUUGUCGCGUCGGGAGUGAAAUCCACUGGCUUAACUGGUGGCUUGCUUUCGAUACGGGCAGACUGGAGGUAUGCAGGGGAGAACGAAUUCCUGGUGUAGCGGUGAAAUGCGCAGAUAUCAGGAGGAACACCGGUGGCGAAGGCGGUUCUCUGGGCAUGUCCUGACGUGAGGAGCGAA
rnacentral:rRNA from 1 species